CGAGUUGGUCGGAUGAUCGCUGGAAAUCCAGAGGAAAGUCCGGACUUCAUGAGCAAGGCGCCAGGUAACUCCUGGGGGACGUGAGUCUACGGAAAGUGCAGCAGAAAAUAUACCGCCUUAGGGUAAGGGUGAAAAGGUGAGGUAAGAGCUUACCGCAUGAAUGGUAACAUUCCAUGGCAGUGCAAACCCCGCUUGAAGCAAGACCAAAUAGGAGCUCAAUAGGAAUGCUCAUUCUGAGCUCGGGUAGGUCGCUAGAGUAUUAUGGCAACAUAAUAUCGAGAUAGAUGAUCAUCUUGAACAGAAUCCGGCUUAUAGACCAACUCAUAUC
rnacentral:RNase_P_RNA from 1 species